rnacentral:rRNA from 1 species
UACAGAGGGUGCAAACGUUGCUCGGAAUCACUGGGCGUAAAGGGCGUGUAGGCGGGAAGGAAAGUCAGAUGUGAAAUCCCCGGGCUUAACCUGGGAACUGCGUUUGAAACUGGGGGGCUAGAGUGUGGAAGAGGGGGGUGGAAUUCCAGGUGUAGCAGUGAAAUGCGUAGAUAUCUGGAGGAACACCGAUGGCGAAGGCAGCCCCCUGGGCUAACACUGACGCUCAUGCACGAAAGCGUGGGGAGCAAACAGG